UUUUUGGGUUACCAAAAUAAAAAGGAAAAAGAGAAAAAUCUUCUAUGGUCAACUACUCCAUUACUCUUGCCUUCUUCCUCUCACACAUCCAUGGGCACUUGGCACACAUGCCACCACCCUCCAUUCUUUUCCUAUGCCAAAAACCUGUCACCAAUCCAUCUUCUUACCUUGCUCAAGUCAAAAAUUAGAAAAUGUACUUCAAUUUUCUUCCUCCCAACCACUAAUUUAGUGUUACUAAUCUCCCUAUAAAUGGCCAUGAAAUUCAUCACCAAGAACACAACAAUUCAACAAUUUUCAUCCUCUCAUCUCUCACCUCACCACCACCUACGAACUAACCAGAAUUUUCAUUCACAAUUCGCCGAAAAAUGUGACUCAAAGGAACCCAACAAGAAAACCCAUUUUCUUUCCCUCUCUCUCCUCUGUUUCGGGGUUCAAACACCACCACCACCGGCUGUCGCCGGCUUGCGGACGCCAGGACGUCGCCACCUCGUGUGUCACCGCCGACGCACCUGCACGGUCGCCGGAGCUCCGCCCCACCUGCAACUCGCGUCUUCUCCCUCUUCCUCGCUCGCACCCUACUCUCUCUCGCUCCUCUUCUUCGCGUGUUUCUGUAUUGCGCAGCACCGACGACCUUCGCCCCUCAUUCUCCCGCUGUCGCGCCGUCGCGUUGCUCAUCGCCGCCGCCGUUCGCCGGAGCAGCACUCCCGCCUCGAUCUUCGUCAUCCCUGCUCUAGUAGUAGAGGUACCAAUGGUGAUAACGGGAUGGCGUAGCAGUGAGGAUUUAUAUAAUAUCUAGAUUAUGUAGACUCUCAUGGUUUUAAUUUAAGUUAAUGUCAAAACUCUAGUUAGUAACUAAGUUUCUAUAUAUUAAUUAAGACUAAUGUUGGAUCCAUAUUAUAUUUCAUGUUAUAAUAUGUUUGAGUUUAUGAAUU